GGGAAAGUGGCUCAGUGGUAGAGUGCUUGCCUUGCAUGCAUGAAGCCCUGGGUUUGAUUCCUCAGCACCA
rfam:Dipodomys ordii contig_58373, whole genome shotgun sequence.